ACAAAAAUUGUUGCGAUAUAGCAUAUGAUUUGUCAUUUGAACGACAUAAAAACUCAAUGUUGACGAUUUCGAAUGGCAAUCAUCUAAAAAAUGGUGGAUUCAAGAUCGAAUGACUUCAUGUCUGUAUUGGAAUGAACAGUCUGUGAUAUUCGAAGGAUAGACAUAACGCCAUAUGAAUUAUUUGCACCCAAAAAAGUAAACGAUGUGUUUGGGCUGGCUCGAAUGACAGUCAUUUGAAGCGCUUCAUGCGUUUGCGAGAUAAGUUUUUUCAUUAUUUCUGUGCAGUCGCAAAAAGUCAGUUCGCGACAUCAAAACGUGAAAAUACUGCUGCUUGUCAUCCUCAAGACUAACGUACCCUAGAAAAAUUGUUUUGGAGCUGAUUUCCUGGUAUUGGGAGAGAAACUAGCGUCCGGAUCAAAGGAUUUAUUUGCAUAUUUUCGAGCAAUGCCACUGACAUGGUGUCUUUCAACAUACAGGGAAUAGCCGUUAUUUAGUGCAAAUAACUGGUCAAAGCCAUAGUAUGCAAGGCAAAGAGGGAGUACUGGAAAGGGAGUGAAAUAUACAAUAGGAUGGAUGCCAAAUAGCUGUCAAUUGAUGACUAUGUUGAUCGAAACUAUUAUUCUGGUGAAAUGGUGGCACUAGCGAUUCAAUAUCGUACAGGAAUCACAGCCCUAGGAACCACGAGUCCCGAGAGAUUGUAGUUACAGGUAUUCCUAUCCCAAGGUUUGGAAAAUUUCCACGCGACCGGCAGUAGGUGAUGGCCAAAUCUACUGGUUUCACACAACCGUCUUAGUCCCUAAAUCAGAUUCGAGAGCUAGACGGAUCGCAUGAUAUGCAACAUGAGGAGCCAAUGUUCGAUCUGCUUUGGUUCUAUCCCGAUGACCAUGGCGGCUGAACUACAUUGCCCCACAAUGCUGAUUACCUUUGGAAAUGUACAAUCAAUUAAACAAUCUGACGCAGAAAACACCAGCACCGCACAAACGUAAGAGAUUCUGUGAUGGACCAACGUUGCCGCAAGAGAACACUCGUAGCAAUAGGUUUGUUCCAGUACCAGGAGAAACUGGAAGUACUCCGGAGAAAAUCGUUCCUGUAUUAUCUUCUUUUCUUUUCCUUCUUCUGGUAGCAAAUCGGAGUGAAAAGGAGCAAGAAUGUUUUGUUCCGGAGCAACAGGGAGUGAGUUCCGUGUACUGGAACAAACCUAAUCAUUGUUAGCAGAAAGGAAACCACCCUUUUGCGCUCAAGCAAGAAACCAAGUCACCCAGCAAUUUUUAAGUUUACCGUAAAACUUGAAGGCACUGAGCUAGAUCAGCAACCUCCCGAUGCGAUUGUUAAAAGUCGAUCAACGAUCCAGUAGAAUUACGCACUAGACAAGAGAAUAUGCCCGGAAUUACAAAUUCUAACUCAUCAGAAAAAUAUCUUUAAAAAAGCACUAGCUCGGAAACGGUAUCAAUCCAAACUAUGAAAAGUUUCGACUGACUCCGACGCAAAUUCCGGAAACUUUUCUUCGUUGAUUGCGCGAAUAUUAUAUUCUGGUACUGCUAGGUAAAUUUCACAUUGAAGAAUAAUUCCGUUGCUAGCUGCCAUGAUUCAGCAUCGAGAGAUAGAACCUAUAGUCGAGAUCGAACCAAGAGAGCAAGGCAAACCGUUGUCACUAAACGCCCUAGCACUAAACUAAAACAAGUUAUAUUACACAUAAGACAUAACUUUCUCCGCUAAAGGAAGGCAACAAAUUUUUACCGUUAAAUUUGAAUACUGCGUAAUUGUCUCCCUUCGUAGUCACCGACGUUACGUAACAUGUUUUAACUGAAGAAUUUUUUUCGAAGACUCACGUACCGGGGGAGUAGCGAUAAAAAAAGUUGUGGUUCAGCCGGAAAUGAACUGGAUUUCUGGCUGGUUCCAGUUCGUAUUCUGGCUCCAGUAACACAACCGAUUCUAAUUAGCCACUGAAGUCGGUACACGAACUGGAACCAGCCAGAAUUCCGGUUCAUUUCCGGCUAAGCUUAACUGGGUGCUAAAGCUGUAAGAUUGUCAUGGUGACAUUGGUAACGAAACUAUAUUAAGCAAAGUGUCAAAAGUUUGAAUUCAAUAUGAGGUUAUUUUUUAUACUACGGUAGCAUCACAGAGAACAGACAUCCAUGAUCGAUCAAAAAUAUUUAAAAAACAUGUGUAAACAUUUGAACUAAUAUACGAAAAACACUAGCGCCGCCACACCAACCUAUCCCAACUAUCCGUCAAAUCGAUUCCGGAACCGGUUCGAAAUCCUGGAUGGAUUCAGCAUGGAAUCUAGCUCAAAGAAAACAACCGAUUCCGACUCUAUCGGUUGACGCAUUUGAGCUGGAAUUCAUGCUGGAAAUCCGAAUCGGUUCAGGACUAGUUUGACUGGGUAGAGGAAGAACCGCUGUCAAUUCUGUCGCACUCAGCCACAAAAAAACAUGACGACAGUAGCGCACCAGGUUUAGAUAUCCAAACUACCUUCGAAACCGUUAGAGAUUUUACACAAGUUGAAUGCUGAAGAUGGACGUCUGUU